UACGGAAGGGGCAAGCGUUGUUCGGAAUCAUUGGGCGUAAAGCGCGCGUAGGCGGCCCGGUAAGUCCGCUGUAAAAGUCAAAGGCUCAACCUUUGAAUGUCAGUGGAUACUGCCGGGCUAGAGUCCGGAAGAGGCGAGUGGAAUUCCUGGUGUAGCGGUGGAAUGCGCAGAUAUCAGGAGGAACCCCAGAGGCGAAGGCGGCGCCCUGGCUCGCAACUGACGCUCAGACACGACAGCAUGGGGAGCGAACGGG
rnacentral:rRNA from 1 species